rnacentral:lncRNA from 1 species
UUUUUGGACAAACAGUUUGUUGUUGUUGUUUUUGUUUUGUUUUGUGAUAGUCACUUAUGAAUGAUGAGGUAUAUAUACUUUAAAUGAUAUUAUUCUCUACAGGGUUUAAUGUGGACAAAAGUACAAGCAAUCUUAUCAGCAGUCUUCUUUACAGUUCCAUGAUUACUGAAAUGCCUCGUAUAAAAGGAAUCUGUACAAGAAAGCCAGAAGGAUUUUGUUCCUUUAUUCACAUCUGGAUUAUGAUGUCUUCGUCUGUGGCAUGAACAGGUUUGGAACAGAAGCUUAAAGACAAUAAAAGAUCCUCUGAGGCUGCA